GGAGAAAUGGCUGAGUGGCCUAAGGCACUGGUUUGCUAAAUCAGCAUACAUUUUAAAUGUAUCAUGGGUUCGAAUCCCUUUUUCUCCG
rnacentral:tRNA from 1 species